AUUAAAAAUAUCACUGGCAUUCAGGAUUUACGUGUUUCAUGGGCAUCAUUGAGUAAAUAAGUUUACCAUGGUAAUGCCUGCGGAAUAGAGUGGAGCAAUCAGAGAAGAUUACAUACCUGAAAAACAUGUUCGGCCCUACCUUUUUUGGUACAGUGGUCUGUUUCUAGGUUAGAGUCUCAUUGUCAAGUUGUCAAACCAGACCAUGAAAUUUGUUGACAAUCAGGGCAGAAUCUCGAAACCGGUAGUGGCAACACAAAUAGAUGGGCUGAAGACGGACGUAAGUUUGCUGAACUGCUGAGUGUUGCGGGAGAGGGAGACAGACAGACUACCGGGCGCGGCGCAGUCUCUAGACCGGUGCACUUCUUUAUAGCGCUUUGUUCUGAGAUAACGCAUAUCAAGAUACGAGAUAAGUGUCACUUCUAAUACUAUAGAAAUGGAAAAAGUUCAAUCUGAA